rnacentral:rRNA from 1 species
GCAUAGGAAUCUACCUAGUAGUAUAGGAUAGCCACUAGAAGUGGUGGGUAAUACUGUAUAAUCCCUGCGGGGGAAAGAUUUAUCGCUACAUGAUGAGCCUAUGUUAGAUUAGCUAGUUGGUGGGGUAAUGGCCUACCAAGGCAGUGAUCUAUAGCUGGUCUGAGAGGAUGAUCAGCCACACUGGAACUGAGACACGGUCCAGACUCCUACGGGAGGCAGCAGUGGGGAAUAUUGGACAAUGGGCGCAAGCCUGAUCCAGCUAUGCCGCGUGAGUGAGGAAGGCCUUAGGGUUGUAAAACUCUUUCAGUGGGGAAGAUAAUGACGGUACCCACAGAAGAAGUCCCGGCAAACUCCGUGCCAGCAGCCGCGGUAAUACGGAGGGGGCAAGCGUUGUUCGGAAUUAUUGGGCGUAAAGGGCAUGUAGGUGGUUUGGUAAGUUAAAGGUGAAAUGCCAGGGCUUAACCCUGGAGCUGCUUUUAAUACUGCCAGACUGGG